GACGACGCUGGCGGCGUGCCUAACACAUGCAAGUCGAGCGAAGCUUAAGCCUUCAGCUUGCUGUUGGCUUAAGACUUAGCGGCGAACGGGUGAGUAACGCGUGGGUGACCUACCCAGGAGACCGGGAUAACAGCUCGAAAGGGCUGCUAAUACCGGAUGACAUCCUGCUCGUUUUGGGGGUAGGAUCAAAGCGUUAUGUAGCGCUUCUGGAUGGGCCCGCGUCCCAUUAGCUAGUUGGUGAGGUAACGGCUCACCAAGGCGACGAUCGGUAGCCGGACUGAGAGGUUGGACGGCCACAUUGGGACUGAGACACGGCCCAGACUCCUACGGGAGGCAGCAGUGGGGAAUAUUGGGCAAUGGGGGAAACCCUGACCCAGCAACGCCGCGUGAAGGACGAAGGCCUUCGGGUUGUAAACUUCUUUGAUCAGGGACGAAAGCGAUGACGGUACCUGAGGAACAAGCCACGGCUAACUACGUG
rnacentral:rRNA from 1 species